UACACCAGCACACAUAAGGUACACAAUGUACUAAAAACCUAUAAUGGUAUAUGUGAGCUCAGUUCCAUGCUAUUAGAGAAGACUUCCUAAAGCAAAUCUUUUUCCUAACUAUUAAAAAAAAUGUAUUUGAUUUUCUUAUUAUACAAAUAAUACACAUAAAAAAACAAUAAUACAUAAUCAUAGACAAAGUACCAAAAGCAAAUUUAAAUUCAUAAUCUCAUCACUUAGAGAUGA
rnacentral:lncRNA from 1 species